rnacentral:rRNA from 1 species
AUUGAACGCUGGCGGCAUGCCUUACACAUGCAAGUCGAACGGUAACAGGUUAAGCUGCCGAGUGGCGAACGGGUGAGUCAUGUAUCGGAACGUGCCCAGUCGUGGGGGAUAACUGCUCGAAAGAGCAGCUAAUACCGCAUACGACCUGAGGGUGAAAGCGGGGGAUCGCAAGACCUCGCGCGAUUGGAGCGGCCGAUAUCAGAUUAGGUAGUUGGUGAGGUAAAGGCUCACCAAGCCGACGAUCUGUAGCUGGUCUAGAGGACGACCAGCCACACUGGGACUGAGACACGGCCCAGACUCCUACGGGAGGCAGCAGUGGGGAAUUUUGGACAAAGGGCGCAAGCCUGAUCCAGCCAUGCCGCGUGCGGGAAGAAGGCCUUCGGGUUGUAAAACGCUUUUGUCAGGGAAGAAAAGGUUCUGGCUAAUACCUGGGACUCAUGACGGUACCUGAAGAAUAAGCACCGGCUAACUACGUG